rnacentral:rRNA from 1 species
GACGAACGCUGGCGGCGUGCUUAACACAUGCAAGUCGAACGGUGACGAGGAGCUUGCUCCUCUGAUCAGUGGCGAACGGGUGAGUAACACGUGAGCAACCUGCCCCAGACUCUGGGAUAACAGUUGGAAACAGCUGCUAAUACCGGAUACGAGACGGAGAGGCAUCUCUACCGUCUGGAAAGUUUUUUCGGUCUGGGAUGGACUCGCGGCCUAUCAGCUAGUUGGUGAGGUAAUGGCUCACCAAGGCGACGACGGGUAGCCGGCCUGAGAGGGCGACCGGCCACACUGGGACUGAGACACGGCCCAGACUCCUACGGGAGGCAGCAGUGGGGAAUAUUGCACAAUGGGCGAAAGCCUGAUGCAGCGACGCCGCGUGAGGGAUGACGGCC